rnacentral:misc_RNA from 1 species
GAUGAAGAACGUAGCGAAAUGCGAUACGUAAUACGAAUUGCAGAUUCAGUGAAUCAUCGAGUUUUUGAACGCACAUUGCGCCCCCUGGUAUUCCGGGGGGCAUGCCUGUCCGAGCGUCAUUGCUGCCCUCAAGCACGGCUUGUGUGUUGGGCCCCGUCCUCCGAUCCCGGGGGACGGGCCCGAAAGGCAGCGGCGGCACCGCGUCCGGUCCUCGAGCGUAUGGGGCUUUGUCACCCGCUCUGUAGGCCCGGCCGGCGCUUGCCGAUCAACCCAAAUUUUUAUCCAGGUUGACCUCGGAUCAGGUAGGGAUACCCGCUGAACUUAAGCAUAUCAAUAGCGGAGGA